UACGAAGGGGGCUAGCGUUGCUCGGAAUCACUGGGCGUAAAGCGCACGUAGGCGGAUUGUUAAGUCAGGGGUGAAAUCCUGGAGCUCAACUCCAGAACUGCCUUUGAUACUGGCGAUCUUGAGUCCGGGAGAGGUGAGUGGAACUGCGAGUGUAGAGGUGAAAUUCGUAGAUAUUGGGAAGAACACCGGUGGCGAAGGCGGCGACCUGGUCCAUUACUGACGCUGAGGCGCGAAAGCGUGGGGAGCAAACAGG
rnacentral:rRNA from 1 species